UUACAACCUCGAUAAAUUCUAGUAAAAAAAGAGCAAGGUUUUGGCGGAAACAAUUGGGAAGGCGGCAAAGGCAGGAUAUCCAAAUCAGAAAACUUAAUAUUUUAGACUAUGAAAAGAUCAUAGAAUCCGGGUUUGAUCAGUGAACUCGGGUCUAAUUCCCCCAAAAGCAAAACCCUUUUAUUUCUCGUUUCUUCAGCUCAAAAAUUCACUGCAAAAAAACAAAACAGAAGGGUUUUUACUUGAGUUGGGAUUUUGGGUUUUUGUUUUAGAAAUGAAAGGAGGAAGGAAAAGGGUGUCUCAGAGUGAAGGAGGGGGAAGAGGGGGUAGUGUGAAAGAGAAGAAAAAGGGAGGGACUGAGGAGGAAAUAGUUGAAACUGAAGGACUUGGGGAGAAAAAGGAAGAAGAAGAGGAGCAAGAGGAGGAAGAAGAUGAUGAUGAUGAGGAUGAUGAAGAAGAAGAAGAAGAGGAAGAAGAAGAAGGAAAAGAAGAAGAAAAUGGGGAAAGGAAAGAAGAUGAAAGAACUAAGCUUGAUGAUGGGUUCUUUGAGAUUGAAGCUAUUCGUCGUAAAAGGGUUCGAAAGGGUCAGCUUCAAUAUCUCAUCAAAUGGCGUGGAUGGCCGGAAACUGCAAAUACAUGGGAGCCAUUGGAGAAUCUACAGUCUUGUUCUGACGUAAUUGAUGCAUUUGAGGAAAGCUUGCGUUCAGGGAAGCAUAGUCGAAAGCGAAAACGCAAGUAUGGUGGUCCUCAUACACAGUCCAAGAAGAAGCAGCCUUGUUCUUCUGGUUCUACAUAUAAUGUGACUGGUCUUGAACUUGGUGGUGUUGAUAAGACUCCCUUGGUUCCCUUUGACAAUUCCGGUAUUGCUGAUCUUUCUGCUUCAAGUACAGUUAUAGUGUUGGCACGAGAAGGAGAGCGUAAUGGAAAUAGCAGCAAUGUCAGAAGAGCUAAAAGAGUUAAGGAUAACAGUUCUGCAAACGGUUCAAAGAAAAUUGACGAGACAAAGGAUGAAAAUGAUUAUGAUACCAAGCUUAGUGAGCUAAAAGGUGCAUUGUCUUCUAAAGGGGGCAAUACAGAUAAGCUUGCAAUUCGGUUUCAAGAAGGCAAAGCUUCUGAAGGUGAUGGACCUGUAAAUGGGUUACAAAAGGUUGAUCUUGGGGAAUCAGUUCAGAGUGAUCGUCGCACGGGAGCUAAAAGGAGGAAGUCUGGUUCUGUUAAGAGGUUUACACAGGAUCCAGCCUCAUCUGGACCUAAUUUGACUCAAAAUGCUACAAAUGUCCAUGUUGGCUAUGCAAUUACAGAUGCAGAGAUGGAAAUCGUAAAUCUUGGUUUAGCAGCAGACGGUUCGAGUCAUAGGUCCCCAAUUGAUAAUUCUUUAAAUGUACCUGUCAUAACCAAGAUCCUCAAGCCUGUAGGAUUUUCGGCUUCUGUAUCAGCUAACACUCAAGAUGUGUCAGUAACCUUCUUGGCACUCAGGUCCGAUGGAAAAGAGGUUAUGGUGGACAACCAAUAUCUUAAAGCUAACAAUCCACUGCUGUUAAUCAGCUUUUAUGAGCAACAUCUUAAGUAUAGCCCUCCAUCUUGAUCACCUAGGCGUAUUUAUGUAUUGAUGAAGCUGAAGGCCGCCAUAUUGAUUUUGUUUGUGUAUGCAUUGUUGUAACUCUAUUUAGUCGCAGAAGAUAGAGCAGGAUAAGCAAGAGCUCUCAUUUUCAAGUGCCAAGCUGACUGAUAUAACGACCACACAAGGAGCUUGGCCUGGUGAAGAAACCUAUUUUUUGUGCUGAAUUUUACUAUGAGCAUAUUUGCCUGCAAUGGUAGGGUCGUUCCCUUGGUAUCCUAUACCUAGCAAUAUUGCAUUGUAUGGAGUCCUAUGCUGUAUUAGUUUGUUUUUAAUGAAUAUAUAGUUUUCCCAUUUGCAAUCAGAAGUUACAUUUCUACUAGAUUUAAGAAUAUAUGUUCUUUUUUUGUAAUUUAUCAUAGGGUUAAUGCACUAUUUGCCUUUCAAAGUAGCAUCCAAUUAUCAUUUUGGUAUCUAAAGAA